ACGGAAGGCAGCAGCUAAGAAUAUUCCGCAAUGGACGAAAGUCUGACGGAGCGACGCCGCGUGGAUGAUGAAGGCCGGAAGGUUGUAAAAUCCUUUUAUAACUGAGGAAUAAGUAAGGUGAGAGAAACGCCUUAUGGUGACUGUAGGUUAUGAAUAAGCAACGGCUAAUUACGUGCCAGCAGCCGCGGUAACACGUAAGUUGCGAGCGUUGUUCGGAAUUAUUGGGCGUAAAGGGCAUGUAGGCGGUUUUGCAAGCUUGGUGUGAAAUCCCGGAGCUUAACUCCGGAAUUGCGUUGAGAACUGCAUAACUAGGGUCACUGAGGGGCAAUCAGAAUUCCUGGUGUAGGGGUGAAAUCUGUAGAUAUCAGGAAGAACACCGAUGGCGAAGGCAGGCUUCGAGCGGACGACUGACGCUGAGGUGCGAAGGUGCGGGGAGCAAACAGGAUUAGAUACCCUGGUA
rnacentral:rRNA from 1 species